rnacentral:rRNA from 1 species
CCUACGUGUGGCAGCAGUGAGGAAUAUUGGUCAAUGGACGAGAGUCUGAACCAGCCAAGUAGCGUGAAGGAUGACUGCCCUAUGGGUUGUAAACUUCUUUUAUAAAGGAAUAAAACGAGGCACGUGUGCCUUGUUGCAUGUAAUUUAUGAAUAAGGAUCGGCUAACUCCGUGCCAGCAGCCGCGGGAAUACGGAGGAUCCGAGCGUUAGCCGGAUUUUUUUGGUUUAAAGGGAGCGUAGAUGGGUUGUUAAGUCAGUUGUGAAAGUUUGCGGCUCAACCGUAAAAUUGCAAUUGAUACUGGCAGUCUUGAGUACAGUUGAGGUAGUCGGAAUUCGUGGUGUAGCGGUGAAAUGCUUAGAUAUCACGAAGAACCCCGAUUGCGAAGGCAGCUUACUAAACUGUUACUGACAUUGAUGCUCGAAAGUGUGGGUAUCAAACAGGAUUAGAUACCCGGGUAGUC